rnacentral:lncRNA from 1 species
UGUAAGAUGGCGGAGGUGCAGAGAGCUGGGAAGGGUGCUGAUCUUCAGCGACUGUUUCUACCUCUCGCCUGGAAAGUCGGUCUCCCAGGUCCGCUGGAGGAGGCUCUGGUGGCUGCCGGCUCCCCGUCUGCAGCCCCCCGCCCAGAGAAAUACUCACCCGAGCUUCACGUAGAGGACGCCAAAGCAGAGAAACACACAUCUUUCCCCUAGACGUUACCUACGUGGGUGCUUCCAGGGCCACAACUCCGGAUCAGGCAUUGUUACCUGCCCAACAAACUCGGGGAAAACUCGUUCCAGUGCCCGGCACUGCAGAGCGCAAGCAGAGCGUGGGACUUGAGACUGGUAGACACACCAGCCUGCCCAGCAUUAAAAGUGGCACCAUGACAGAGAGACUCAGAAAGGCAUCCUUGGAGAGUCCCAGUCUGAGGAUUCUGUCUCACUCUGCAGGCCUGUCCGAUGCGGGCGGGUGUCAGAUCUGAUUCUUGUUGAACCGCUAAAGUGGGAAGUCAGACUGGCCUAGGUGCCUGGCACAUCCUGUGGUGUGUCUCGCUUGAUCCUAUCCUGGAUAAAUGGGUGACAGGGACACUGCCUGUCACAGCUAGGUCUGUCUUAGCACAGCGGACCAGCUAGUAACCAGACACAUGGUGGGUGGG